UAAAUGUAUUUGGCUAAGGUGUAUGUAAACUUCCGACUUCAACUGUAUAUAUAUAUAUUAUAACUUGUAAUGUCCUCAUUCAACACAGUAUCUGACCAAGUAGGUCUGCGUCUGCGUGUUUGUGUGUGUGUAGGAAGAUCUCUGCAGCUACGCACCACCAGGCUGUGGAUUACAACAUCUUUGAGGGCAUGGAAUGCCACGGUGUUCCCGUGGUGACCAUCUCCAGAGGGAAGGUGGUCUAUGAGAGAGGUCAGCUGAAGACCCAGCCAGGACAGGGCCGCUUCAUCCCCAGACAGCCCUACGCGGAGUUCAUCUACAAACGAGUCAACCAGAGGGAACAGGUGGGACAGCCUAGUCCUGUAAUCAGGAAGCCUUAUGAUGGUGAAAUCAUCGCCAUAUAAAGGAAUGGAACUCUUCAUGAAAGAGACUGUUUAGCUCAGGAUCUACAUGCAAAAUGUUCUGUGAAUUUUGUUAUGCUGGACCAAGAUAAAAUGCAUGUUUGUUUGAAUGCAGAUGCCAGUCAAUGUUUUGAUUCUGAUGAUAUUAUGUUGCCAAACUAUUUAGUACAAUUUAUACAAUUGCAUAACAUGUAUUAUGUUAUUACUAUGUGAAAUAAACACUUGCAUCGUUAUAUUUGAUGAUGAUGGUGAUGAUGAUGCCCAUUUAAACACUUAA